CACUCUGUCUACACCCCACAACUCUGGGCACUCUGUCCACAACCCCACAACUCUGGGCCGCUCUGUCCACACCCCACAACUCUGGGCCACUCUGUCCACACCCCACAACUCUGGGCCCCUCUCUGUCUAUACCCCACAACUCUGGGCCACUCUGUCUAUAUCCCACAACUCGGGCCACUCUGUCUAUACCCCACAACUCUGGCCAGCUCUAUCUAUACCACUCUGGGCCACUCUGUCUACACCCCACAACUCUGGGCCACUCUGUCCGCACCCCGCAACUCUGGACCACUCUCUGUCUAUACCCCACAACUCUGGGCCACUCUGUCUAUACCCCACAACUCUGGGCCACUCUGUCUAUACCCCACAACUCUGGGCCGCUCUGUCCACACCCCACAACUCUGGACCACUCUCUGUCUAUACCCCACAACUCUGGACCACUCUCUGUCUACACCCCACAACUCUGGGCCACUCUGUCUACACCCCACAACUCUGGGCCGCUCUGUCCACACCCCACAACUCUGGACUGCUCUGUCUACAACACACAACUCCAAGGCUGCUCCCUAUCUACACCCACAACUCUGGGGCUCUGCCUAUACCCCGCAACUCCAGGGCUGCUCUCCAUCUAUACCCCACAACUCCGGGGAUUCUGUCUACACCCCACAACUCUGGGCCGCUCUGUCUACACCCCACAACUCUGGGCCACUCUGUCCACACCCCACAACUCUGGGCCCCUCUCUGUCUAUACCCCACAACUCUGGGCCGCUCUGUCCACACCCCACAACUCUGGGCCCCUCUCUGUCUAUACCCCACAACUCUGGGCCGCUCUGUCUACACCCCACAACUCUGGGCCACUCUGUCCACACCCCACAACUCUGGGCCACUCUCUCUCUACACCCCACAACUCUGGACCACUCUCUGUCUAUACCCCACAACUCUGGGCCACUCUGUCUACACCCCACAACUCUGGGCCACUCUGUCUAUACCCCACAACUCUGGGCCGCUCUGUCCACACCCCAAACUCUGGACCACUCUCUGUCUAUACCCCACAACUCUGGACCACUCUCUGUCUAUACCCCACAACUCUGGGCCACUCUGUCUACACCCCACAACUCUGGGCCGCUCUGUCCACACCCCACAACUCUGGACUGCUCUGUCUACAACACACAACUCCAAGGCUGCUCCCUAUCUACACCCCACAACUCUGGAUCACUCUGUCCACACCCCACAACUCUGGAGCACUCUCUGUCUAUACCCAACUCUGGAGCACUCUCUGUCCACACCCCACAACUCUGGGCCACUCUGUCUAUACCCCACAACUCUGGACCGCCCUCUUGUCUACACCCCACAACUCUGGGCCGCUCUGUCUACACCCCACAACCGGGAAACCCGCCCGGCCGCUGCACUGACGUUGCCACAGUUAAUCGCUGGAGUUAGGGUCCCUGGAGACACCUCGACCCAAACAAUGCAGCCGCCUGCUGGGGGCGACCAGGAAACUCCAGACCGGACGCAGACACGGGCCCCCGGGCUCCGGCCCAGGUCUGGGCGAGCGCGGUGGGCACGGCGGGCCCGGGUUCUCGGCCCAUCCGCCGCCCCCCACCCCGACCCCGGACCGGGACCCUCGGGUCCUGCCAAGAACCGGUCGGCCCCUCGGAGACCCCACAACCCAGGCCCCGGCGGGGUCCGCCCGCGCCGGGCCCACGACAAAGUCCUCGGCGGAGGGCCCAGGAACAAAAGGAGAACGGCGGGCGGCCGGGCGGCCCGGGGACGCGGGGACCCUGACGAGCGGGACGCCGGCCGCCCCCAGGCCCCCUCGACCCUCGGCCUCGCUGGGCGGGGCCGGCGGCCGGGCCGCGGAGAGCGCGAGCGCGCGCCCAGAGAAGAAAGAAACGGAGGCGGGGCGACCCUGCGCCCGGCCCGCAACCUACCGGCCGCUCGCUCCGCCGGCCGCGAUCCGCUCCGCCCGCGCGCGCAACGGUCGCUCCGCAGCCGCCGCCCGCCCGGGGGGCGGGAGCCCUGGUGGGCGGGGGGCGGGGGGCGUGGUCUGCGCGAGGGCGGGGCGGGUGGAAGGCGUGGUCUCUAA
rnacentral:lncRNA from 1 species